GGCUGAAUCGACUGUCGUAGCGAGAAUUCUUAGCGCCGGCCGUCCCAAGACAGGGUGGAGGCACAGCGGCACAGAGUUCGCGUCGCCAGGGUGGCAGCAGCAGGCCAAGGUGGCAACGGACAGACGACCAGCCGCGCUUGCAACUGCACCGCUGAAGCCAGUAAAGGACUGCCUCUCCAGGGUCGCCGCAGUGUGCUUCC
rfam:Equus caballus chromosome X, whole genome shotgun sequence.